rnacentral:lncRNA from 1 species
UUGGAUCUGCCUCGAUUUUUCCCUUCAUUUCUUCCAUUCUUUCCCAAACUUACACCCCCCCUUCUUUCCAAAUCCUCAAUUCGAAACAAACCCUAAAUUCCUCGAAACAAGCAUAGAAACACAUAAAACCCAAAACACACAAAAUUUCACCUCGAAUCGACGGCCUCCGACUGCACAGUCUUCUCCACUAAAUUUCACCUUGAAUCGACAGCCUCCGACUGCACAGUCUUCUCCACUUCAUCCACAGCCGAAUCAGCCCCUGCCUGAUUCCUCCUCAACCACUGCUGCUGAUUCUGCUGCUGAAACUGCUGGUAACUCUGCCCUACAUUCCUUUGAACGUACUGUUGCUGGUUAGGGUUCCGAUACUGAAAAUUAGGAUUGGGGCCGCUAGGGUUUCCGGUCCCCAUUCCGUACUGUUGCUGGGAGGUUUUCUGUAAAUUUUUUGGUGUUUUAAUGUUCGUGUUUUUGCAAAUAUUAAAUAUUAAAAUAUUAAUUUUAAUAUUAAAAUA